rnacentral:rRNA from 1 species
GAUGAACGCUGGCGGCGUGCCUAAUACAUGCAAGUCGAGCGAACGGACGAGAAGCUUGCUUCUCUGAUGUUAGCGGCGGACGGGGGAGUAACACGUGGAUAAACUACCUAUAAGACUGGGAUAACUUCGGGAAACCGGAGCUAAUACCGGAUAAUAUUUUGAACCGCAUGGUUCAAAAGUGAAAGACGGUCUUGCUGUCACUUAUAGAUGGAUCCGCGCUGCAUUAGCUAGUUGGUAAGGUAACGGCUUACCAAGGCAACGAUGCAUAGCCGACCUGAGAGGGUGAUCGGCCACACUGGAACUGAGACACGGUCCAGACUCCUACGGGAGGCAGCAGUAGGGAAUCUUCCGCAAUGGGCGAAAGCCUGACGGAGCAACGCCGCGUGAGUGAUGAAGGUCUUCGGAUCGUAAAACUCUGUUAUUAGGGAAGAACAUAUGUGUAAGUAACUGUGCACAUCUUGACGGUACCUAAUCAGAAAGCCACGGCUAACUACGUG